GGGUGGUAAUGCCGGAUGCUCCGACUCCUCGCAUGGGGUGUCGGGAAAGAUUUCAUCGGUAUGGGAUGGGGUCGCGUCCUAUCAGGUAGUCGGCGGGGUAACGGCCCACCGAGCCUACGACGGGUAGCCGGCCUGAGAGGGCGACCGGCCACAUUGGGACUGAGAUACGGCCCAGACUCCUACGGGAGGCAGCAGUGGGGAAUAUUGCACAAUGGGCGCAAGCCUGAUGCAGCGACGCCGCGUGCGGGAUGACGGCCUUCGGGUUGUAAACCGCUUUUGAUCGGGAGCAAGCCUUCGGGUGAGUGUACCUUUCGAAUAAGCACCGGCUAACUACGUGCCAGCAGCCGCGGUAAUACGUAGGGUGCAAGCGUUAUCCGGAAUUAUUGGGCGUAAAGGGCUCGUAGGCGGUUCGUCGCGUCCGGUGUGAAAGUCCAUCGCUUAACGGUGGAUCUGCGCCGGGUACGGGCGGGCUGGAGUGCGGUAGGGGAGACUGGAAUUCCCGGUGUAACGGUGGAAUGUGUAGAUAUCGGGAAAGAACACC
rnacentral:rRNA from 1 species